rnacentral:rRNA from 1 species
GAUGAACGCUAGCUACAGGCUUAACACAUGCAAGUCGAGGGGCAGCAGGAUCUAGCAAUAGAUUGCCGGCGACCGGCGCACGGGUGAGUAACACGUAUCCAACCUGCCGAUAACUCGGGGAUAGCCUUUCGAAAGAAAGAUUAAUACCCGAUGGUAUAAUCAGACCGCAUGGUUUGAUUAUUAAAGAAUUUCGGUUAUCGAUGGGGAUGCGUUCCAUUAGGCAGUUGGUGAGGUAACGGCUCACCAAACCUUCGAUGGAUAGGGGUUCUGAGAGGAAGGUCCCCCACAUUGGAACUGAGACACGGUCCAAACUCCUACGGGAGGCAGCAGUGAGGAAUAUUGGUCAAUGGGCGCAGGCCUGAACCAGCCAAGUAGCGUGAAGGAUGACUGCCCUAUGGGUUGUAAACUUCUUUUAUAUGGGAAUAAAGUUUUCCACGUGUGGAAUUUUGUAUGUACCAUAUGAAUAAGGAUCGGCUAACUCCGUGCCAGCAGCCGCGGUAAUACGGAGGAUCCGAGCGUUAUCCGGAUUUAUUGGGUUUAAAGGGAGCGUAGGUGGACAGUUAAGUCAGUUGUGAAAGUUUGCGGCUCAACCGUAAAAUUGCAGUUGAUACUGGCUGUCUUGAAUACAGUAGAGGUGGGCGGAAUUCGUGGUGUAGCGGUGAAAUGCUUAGAUAUCACGAAGAACUCCGAUUGCGAAGGCAGCUCACUGGACUGCAACUGACACUGAUGCUCGAAAGUGUGGGUAUCAAACAGGAUUAGAUACCCUGGUAGUCCACACAGUAAACGAUGAAUACUCGCUGUUUGCGAUAUACAGUAAGCGGCCAAGCGAAAGCAUUAAGUAUUCCACCUGGGGAGUACGCCGGCAACGGUGAAACUCAAAGGAAUUGACGGGGGCCCGCACAAGCGGAGGAACAUGUGGUUUAAUUCGAUGAUACGCGAGGAACCUUACCCGGGCUUAAAUUGCAUUUGAAUAAUCUGGAAACAGGUUAGCCGCAAGGCAAAUGUGAAGGUGCUGCAUGGUUGUCGUCAGCUCGUGCCGUGAGGUGUCGGCUUAAGUGCCAUAACGAGCGCAACCCUUAUCUUUAGUUACUAGCAGGUCAUGCUGAGGACUCUAGAGAGACUGCCGUCGUAAGAUGUGAGGAAGGUGGGGAUGACGUCAAAUCAGCACGGCCCUUACGUCCGGGGCUACGCACGUGUUACAAUGGGGGGUACAGAAGGCAGCUACCUGGUGACAGGAUGCUAAUCCCAAAAGCCUCUCUCAGUUCGGAUCGAAGUCUGCAACCCGACUUCGUGAAGCUGGAUUCGCUAGUAAUCGCGCAUCAGCCAUGGCGCGGUGAAUACGUUCCCGGGCCUUGUACACACCGCCCGUCAAGCCAUGAAAGCCGGGGGUACCUGAAGUACGUAACCGCAAGGAGCGUCCUAGGGUAAAACUGGUA